GGGGCAGGCGCGUGGGGGAGAGCCCAGCCGCUGAGAGCAGAAGGGCCGGGGAAUCCCGCGAAGCCGCCAGAGCGCGUCUCGGCGGGGUAUCCCGGGCUUUCCCGGCCGCCGUGCGUGAGGCGGCCGCGGGGCCGCGGACCCUCUAGCCCAGCGCAGCCGGGUGGGAGCUGCACAGCGAGGCAGACACAUUCAGGAAAACUGCAACCACAGGAGACAAUCCAAAUCCCAUGUAGAUGCUGCAUCUAUCUCAAAGUCCAGGUUCUGUGGGUGAUGCUAAACCCUCCCCAACCCCCAGCUGUCAUGCUUGCCCCGGAGGGAAACUGUUUCAGCUGACCUCGCUUGUUAAGCACCCUGGCGCU
rnacentral:lncRNA from 1 species